rnacentral:rRNA from 1 species
GACCAAGGAGUCUAACAUGUGCGCGAGUCGUAGGGUUACGCUCAAAGCCCGAAGGCGCAAUGAAAGUGAAGGUCGGCCUCGAUUGCCGUUACCUAGGCGGGAUCCGUUCGGGCUUACCGGUCGUUCGCGGCUGAGCCCGGCGGCGCACCGCCGGCCCGUCUCGACCGCAUCGCCGGUGAGGCGGAGCGAGAGCGUACACGUUGGGACCCGAAAGAUGGUGAACUAUGCCCGGGCAGGACGAAGCCAGAGGAAACUCUGGUGGAGGUCCGUAGCGAUUCUGACGUGCAAAUCGAUCGUCGGACCUGGGUAUAGGGGCGAAAGACUAAUCUAACCAUCUAGUAGCUGGUUCCU